CUACGGGGCGCUGCAGUGAGGAAUAUUGCACAAUGGGGGGAACCCUGAUGCAGCAACGCCGCGUGGAGGAUGACGCAUUUCGGUGUGUAAACUCCUUUUAUGAGUCAAGAAAAUGACGGUAGCUCAUGAAUAAGCACCGGCUAACUCCGUGCCAGCAGCCGCGGUAAUACGGAGGGUGCAAGCGUUACUCGGAAUCACUGGGCGUAAAGGACGCGUAGGCGGGCUUGUAAGUCAGGUGUGAAAUCCUACAGCUUAACUGUAGAACUGCACUUGAAACUACGAGCCUAGAGUAUGGGAGGGGCAGAUGGAAUUAGUGGUGUAGGGGUAAAAUCCGUAGAUAUCACUAGGAAUACCGAAAGCGAAGGCGAUCUGCUGGAACAUUACUGACGCUAAGGCGUGAAAGCGUGGGGAGCAAACGGGAUUAGAUACCCUAGUAGUC
rnacentral:rRNA from 1 species